UAAUUGUACUCGUUUAGCUUGGAGUUUUGCUUUGAUUGUUUGUGAACUCAAUAAUUUUUGAGGAAUUGUGUUUGUUUGUUUAAGUAAUUGAGGAUGAGAAAAAAUCGAUGAAAUGCUGAGAAAACCCAGAAUAAUGAGAUUUUUUUUACGCAUCCACAUCUAUCUGUGUCUUUUUUGGGGUGGUUUAGUUCGUCUAUUCAAUGAAUCUGUCAGUACAGAACAGAUAUAGUUCAUUUUCUGUGUAGCAUAUUUUUGCCCCCUUCUAUUGUGGCAUUCAGAUGUACUUCGUGUCAAAUAUUAUAGAAUCAUAUGAAAUGGUCCCUCUUG
rnacentral:misc_RNA from 1 species